AAUCAUCCAGACCCUGAAUAGAAAAAGCUUAACAGAAACUACACUAACACUUGGAAAUUAGAAGAGUCUCUGAAAUGUAAAACAAAUAGAUAAUGAGGCAACCUACAUUUAAAGAAAAGGAUGUUUAAGUUUUUUUUUUUUUUAUAGGUGUGUCAAUUUAUAUUUGUAUUGGCUGCAUAGUUUGUUAAAAAAAAGUAUUUAUUCUAUUAUCUGUUAUUAAGUAUUCUUUUGUCCUUCAUUUAGUUAAAUAUCAAACUAAACAUAAAAAAAUAAAAAACAGUAUAGAGACAAUAAAGACUUCCUGACAUCACAGAAGAAGUUAUCAAAUAACCCACUAAGGAGUGUAAGUUUAAACUGAAGUGAGCUGUUAAUGAACAAUAGGUGUGAUGGAAGCCAACCCCACAGGAGGCGGUGCUGACCUAGAUAAACAUUAACACACAGAGGGCCUCAAAAACCCCAAGUGGAGGCACAGAGGAGGUCAAAGGAAAAGCCAACAUCUUCCCGGCUUUGGCAGGCACAUGCAGGAAAGGUACACUCAAGAAAUGAUUCUGAUAGAGUUAACAGAGAAGAAGGUCCAAUGGUUUCUUUACCAGGAUUCCCUCAAGGUGAAGCCAAAGCUUCAGCUCAACACCAUCCAUACAACUGGACGCUCCAGGUAACAGAAUUGUUUUUAAUGUGGAAAACCCUCAAAUAUGAGUCCCAAUCUGUGCAAAAACCUGAAGAAAGAAGAUGCAUGGAGACAUUUCUGCAGAAUCAUAUUCAACUCUGCAAAGACACCAAGACCACAGAGAUACUUAAAUCUCUGGUGUCAGCACACACAGAUAUGGCGACACACUGAGAGGCGCACGGGCUUCAGGAGAAGUAAUGGGACAAGCAUGCAUCUCCUCUGGCAAGAACAAACUCCCUGACUGCUUUCAUUUGCUUUAUUUUCAAGCUCCUUUCUGAAAUGCUGAAAGAAUUUUUUGUAAAUCAAAUCAUGCUACAAGGGUUGGCCUGUUACAUUCUUUGUUUCUCCUUUAAUCCAACAUUAAAUGCAACAACUUCAUAAAUGUCUGUUCUAGGGUCCCAUUUCAAUGGCUAAUAAAUGCAUUUAUUAACCAAAAAAUAUGUCAUUUUAGAAUGCACUAUCAUGCCGCUUCAAAGCUAUCAUACAUCUUGUGAACUUUUGCAUCAGCGUAAAGUCCAACAAUCAUAUUUAUUGAUGACCUGUCCUUUUGGGAUCCUCCCAAUGCCUCCUUACUGACCAUGUUAACCAGUUUCACCUGCUGACACUGGCCAUAUGGUUGCUGUAGUAGUAGUAGUCUUUUUUAUUUUGGACAAGUGAAAACAAGUGUAAAAUAAUAAAAUAAGACAAAAAUGAGACAAAACUUAUAAAAAACAACAACAACAACAAAAAAGGCAAAUAAAUUAUAUAAAACAAAACAAGACAAAAUUAUAUAAACACAAGUUCAAAAGGGAGUGAGAAGAAGAAAAAUCUUUUAAACUCUUACCCCUUUACCUCAAAUCCUUACUUUCCCAACUAAACCCAGUACUCCCACCAUCAAAGUCCAGUGCCCUACCCAAGUGUAUAUCUAAAUAUUUACAUGCAAUUUCAUUUCCAAACAUGCAAAUGAAUAACAAAACGUAUUGUCAAAGUAUGCAGAUUUAUAAAU